rnacentral:rRNA from 1 species
GGACUACAGGGGUUUCUAAUCCCGUUUGCUCCCCACGCUUUCGUGCCUUAGUGUCAGGAAUGAGCCAGUUAUCUGCCUACGCCAUCGGUGUUCCUCCCAAUAUCUACGGAUUUCACUCCUACACUGGGAAUUCCAAUAACCUCUCUCAUCCUCUAGCUGAGCAGUUUAGAUAAUGGAUGUAUGGUUGAGCCACACGCUUUCACUAUCUACUUACCCUGCCACCUACGCAACUCUUUACGCCCAGUAAUUCCGGAUAACGCUUGGAUCCUCCGUAUUACCGCGGCUGCUGGCAC